rnacentral:tRNA from 1 species
GAGGGUACAGCUCAGUGAUAGAGUGCAUGCUUAGCAUGCAUGAGGUCAUGAGUUCGAUCCCCAGUACUGCCA